ensembl:lncRNA
GGUGCAGAUUUAGGCAGAUCCUUAGGUUCAGGUGGACGCUUAGACACACGUGAGGGUUCAGGUCCAGAUUUGGAUGGAGAUUUAGGCAGAUCCUUAGGUUCAGGUGGACGCUUAGACACACGGGAUGGUUCAGGUCCAGAUUUGGGUGAAGAUUUAGGCAGAUCUCUGGGUUCAGGUUCAGGUGUAGCUGUAGAUGUAGAUGCAGAUUUAGGCACACAUGUGGGUUCAAGUCCCAGUUCAGGUGCAGGGUUAGGUAUAUGUCCAAGUUUAGGUUCAGGUUGGGGCUCAGUUGGAACACUGGCCUCAGUUCUGGCUUUUUUCUUCUUGUUUUUGGGCAUAUCUUACUUAUAAAUGGGACCGCAAACACCCCAAGGUAGAAGAAUUGGCAAGGAGAGGUUGGGGAAAAAGAGAUAAUAAAAACAGAUAAAAUUCUAAUAUCAAGAUCUGACUAGGAAAACUGUAUGCUUGCCUGCUCUGCUGACUUAAAAAGAUUUGACCUCUCAACUAUCCCC